ACCUGACACGUUCGCCAGCCGUACGUCGCUCGCCUCUCGUCCUGUUUGUGUGGUUGUCCCCGUGCAGGGAUGCCCCGCCGGCGUGCAGUGCCCACGCUGACCACGCUGUGCCUGCAGAGCCUGGCCCAGCACAUGCAGAGCCUCUGGGCCAAGGACUACAGUGACAACUACCUGGACGAGUACGAGUUCCGCUUCCUCGUGGGCCCCUUCAAUGAUCUGGGUGAGGAGUGGGGGCUGUGCCACGGCACCGGGACCCCCGUGUGGGGCGGGUGGGGGUCCCAGGCCUCGCUGACCCCCUGUUUUCCCCCCAGCCUGCGGGCUGGUGCAGGAGCUGCUGCGGCUGCUGGGGACGAGCCGGCGGCUGUCACGCGCGGCGCUGCAUCUGCUGCUGCUGCCACACCUGCGCCAGCUCAGCCUGCGCUCGUGCCCCGCGCUCGCCAACAACGCCCUGGGCAACCUCAUCGUCCUGCGCUGCCAGGGCCUGAGUGUGCUGGACCUGGGGGGCUGCGGGCGGCUCUCGCCGUCCGUGCUGGUGGACCUGGCCGAGGGGCUGCCCCGCCUGAGCCGCCUGGGGCUGGCCCACACCCAGGCCAACGUCCAGGUGCUCUCGGCCGUGGGCUCCUGCUGCCGCCACCUGCGGGAGCUCGACGUGUCCGGCUGCAAGAAGGUGACGCCGCGCGCCCUGCGCCACCUGGGCUACGACCCCCUGGCACGGACCCCCGGCUGCCCCGCGCUCCGCGUCCUGCUGGCCCGCAAUCUGGAGCACAGCGGGGACAGGGACAUGGUGGCCGCUGUGGCCUUUCUGCUGCUGGCCCUGCCAUGCCUGGAGGUGCUGGCACACGGUGCUGUGCCGGAUGCGCUCCAUCUGCUCCAUACUCAGCAGUUGGAUGGCACCAAGGACUCCGAGGGCUUCCCCUCGCUUGAGGAGCUGGCACAGAGCCAGGGAGCCGCACCAGAGGGACUCCCACUCAAGCUGCCCCUGCGGCAGCUGGAGGAGGUGGAGGAGGAUGCCCUGGGCACCGUGCACGCCAUGUGUCCCAAGGCUGAGGAGGUCAGCGUGUGGCUGGGGGACAGCCCCGGCCCCGCAGGGCUCCGGGAGCUGCUGGGCUGGAAGCGCCUGUCCCGGGUGACACUGGGCUGUACCGGGCGGCACGGCCGGGCACUGGCAGAGGUGCUGCCGCUGGCAGAGGGCCUGGGCGCCCGCCUGCACACCCUGACCCUGCACGGCUUCAGCUGCCGGGAUCCGCUCUCGCUGCCCUCGCUGCUCUCCAACUGCCCCGGCCUGCAGAGCUUCGGCGCCGAGCUGGAAGUGCCGCCGGACCCCCGCGCCCACGACGAACCCCCCGAGGAAUCCCCCACCUCGCCGCCACGCUGGGCCACCGACCUGCUGCCCCGCGGGCUGCCCCAGCUGCAGAGCUUCUCGCUGACCCUGGCCGGGUCCGUGCCGGCCGCGCACAGGCCGGUGCUGAGCUCCACGCUGGCCUCGCUGCUUUGCGGGGCCCCGCAGCUCCAGAC
rnacentral:lncRNA from 1 species